AUAACCAGCUAAGAUGGCUCAUACAUACAACAAAUGGUAUACGGAGAAUUUUAGGCUCAAGGGAUUGCUGAUUGAUUCCAUGUCUCCAGAUUUAAUGGGUCAUUUCAUUUGGUUGCGUAUUGCCAAAGAAAUAUGGGAUUCCAUAAAAUUAAAAAAAAUCUUCUAUGAUGGAGAGUUUGAUAAAGUUCAUGGGGGAAAUACAGCGUAAAGAUCAAAAAUUGGAUCUUGACUGGAUGUUUACCUAUGUUCGUAAGGGAUGCUCAAGAGAGAAUGUCCUUGAAUGGUGCCACCGUUAAAAAGGGGCCACAUAAUUCUUCAAGUGUCUCCUCUCAAAAUAAGGUCUCGAUGUUAUUAGUAAUGAAAAAAAUUCAUAAUAUGUUGUAUUUUAUUUGAUCAAAUUUUCGUUAUGAGACUUCAUAUUCUUUAACACUAUUUCCAUUUAGCAACCAAGUUGGAUCAUCAAACAACCAAACAAAGACUUCGAAGAUAGAAGAAUGAUACUGUAUAAUUUAUACAUUUGUAUUACAUUUGUGGAUAAUGG
rnacentral:lncRNA from 1 species